GACGAACGCUGGCGGCGUGCCUAAUACAUGCAAGUCGAGCGAGACUCUUCGGAGUCUAGCGGCGGACGGGUGAGUAACACGUGGGCAACCUGCCUGUAAGACUGGGAUAACACCGGGAAACCGGUGCUAAUACCGGAUAAUCCUUUUUCUCUCAUGAGGAAAAGCUGAAAGUCGGUUUCGGCUGACACUUACAGAUGGGCCCGCGGCGCAUUAGCUAGUUGGUGGGGUAACGGCUCACCAAGGCGACGAUGCGUAGCCGACCUGAGUGGGUGAUCGGCCACACUGGGACUGAGACACGGCCCAGACUCCUACGGGAGGCAGCAGUAGUGAAUCUUCCACAAUGGACGAAAGUCUGAUGGAGCAACGCCGCGUGAGCGAUGAAGGCCUUCGGGUCGUAAAGCUCUGUUGUUAGGGAAGAACAAGUACCGGAGUAACUGCCGGUACCUUGACGGUACCUAACCAGAAAGCCACGGCUAACUACGUGCCAGCAGCCGCCGUAAUAC
rnacentral:rRNA from 1 species